rnacentral:rRNA from 1 species
CUGCUGCCUUCCGUAGGAGUCUGGGCCGUGUCUCAGUCCCAAUGUGGCCGGUCAACCUCUCAGUCCGGCUACUGAUCGUCGCCUUGGUGGGCCGUUGCCCCACCAACUAGCUAAUCAGACGCGAGGCCAUCUCAGAGCGAUAAAUCUUUGGCAGUCAGAGCCAUGCGACCCAACUGCAUCAUGCGGUAUUAGCACAAUUUUCACUGUGUUAUUCCCCUCUCCAAGGCAGGUUCCU